rnacentral:lncRNA from 1 species
UCUUCUUGGCUCCGGGCAGGGUGCGCCGAUGGGAAACCCCCAAUCGGCUGGGUGAUUUUUUUUUUUUGGAGGGGGGAGCUGUCCCCCGCAGCACCUGCCUCUCGAGUCUUCCUCUCCCGCUGCUGGACUGACGGGUGGGGCGAGGAAGGAGGGUGGAUGAGGCUUGAGCAAGCGUUGGUCGCCCGGCCUCAGAGGAAGUUCUCCCGGCUCGCCGAGGAGCCGCGUCCGGCCGUCCCCUGGGCCAUGCCGGCUCUGUUCGCUCCGAGCCCCUUCAGGCGCGCCUGCCGACUUAGGGCUCCCGGAGCUCGCCGGCCGCGGAGGGCAGCGCAGCCUCCACGCGGCGCCGCAGGCCUGGCACCGGCCGCGUCCCCGCCUCGCUCUUCUCGGCAGCCGCCUGGCACUUGCAACUAACUUCGCCCAAGUUUCCUGCGCCGCGGCGCCCCUCUCGGCGCGCUCCUGGGAGCGUGCGCCCGCGAGUCCGCCGCGCCCGGGGCCCCUCUGUCCUCGCUGCUGUGGCCAGAGCCGAGCCGGCGCAGGGGCGGAGGUGCUGCAGGAGAGUUAAGGAAAACGGGCCAUCACCUCAGUUCGCAGGUCCGCGCUGUGGCACCUCCCGCUCUCCCCACUCCCGCGGCGCAGGGGGCCCCUUCCCAGCCCAGGCCGCCCUCUGCACCGGCUCAGGUUUAGGCGAGUGGAGAGUCCGGAGCGCGCCGGGGAGUCUGCGCCCUGUUUGGCGUUGGCAAACCCUGGUGUCAUCCCGGCUACCCAGGCCGGCCUGGCGUGCAGCUGCCCUGGUUGUGGCCCUGGAAUCCUCGCCGGGAGGAAGAAGGCGGCGGGCACGAGUAGGAGAGCCUCUCCAGCUACGGAGGAAGAGGGUUAAACCUGGAGAAGGGGAGACUCACCCUUGAAAAUGUUUGAGACUGUUCCUAGCAAGAAAGUGCUCAUUUUCCUUGGAGGUCCAGGUGUUGCUUGCAACAGAAACAGAGGCUUCUCGCAUUUUCUUGCACUGGCGAUGCACCUAGUCAGAGGUAGUGGAGUGAAAAAUAACUCUGGAGGGAAUAAGGACAUUCUUGGCAACCUUUCCAAAAAAGAGCUAGCCCAGACUGAGAGUAUGCAUCCUUGACUGACUAUUCAGCUCUUUAAAAAUUCUGUGUUGUUUGUCUUUUGUUGUAAUCUUGGUCGCCAGAACCAUCUAUAUACUGAUCUCUUUAAGGUACAGUUAACUUACAGUGUCUCACUUACAUGCGCUGCUGAGGUGAAGGUGUUUAAAAUCAAUAAGUGUAAGUAGUUUCCCUGGAAGAGAGAAGUAAAACGUACCAAUCACUCAGUGCUGGAAUAUUUUUAUGCUAAGCAUAAUUUCCUUCUUUAGUAGUUAGAGCAGUUUUUUAAAAAAAAUAGUUAACACGAUGCAGAAGUCAAACAGCAUGAUUCUGUUUCCGUAUUUUCCUCACUUUUUGGUAUGCUGCGGCACAUUUAGAACAUGAUCUGUCUGGAGGUUUUAUUCACAUGGUGGCCUGCCCUUCAGGGAGAACUUGCUUG